UUUCCGGCCUCUCGUUGCGGGUUAACGCUCGCUUCGGGGCUAAAGGUCGGCGCGCUCCGCUUUGGUGACUCUGGAUAACUCACUGGUCGAUCGCACGGGCUUCCACGCCCGGCGACGGGUCCC
rnacentral:rRNA from 1 species